rnacentral:rRNA from 1 species
AAGGGCACCACAAGAACGCGUGGAGCAUGUGGCUUAAUUUGACUCAACGCGGGGAAUCUUACCGGGUCCGGACACACUGAGGAUUGACAGGCGCAAGGAGCUUCGGCUCUGUAAAUUUGCUAGUCCUUUCAUGAUUGUGUGAUAGGUGGUGCAUGGCCGUUCUUAGUUCGUGGAAUAAUCUGUCUGCUUAAUUGCGUUUUUUCAAUUGUGCCUUGAUACCCAAUACGCCUUCUGCGGACAGUAAUCCGUCUCGCUUUAAGUGAGUUCGGUUUGCUGGACCAGAUAGGUGGGUUUUCAGGGCCUUCUGAAACGAACGAGACCCCAACCCUUCUUUUUCAAUGUUAUACAACGAUCUGUUGUUACUUUUUUGUUUCUCAGAGGAGGCAGCUUGCUGUUUUCCUUCUGUUUAGCAUUCUACAACGUUGUCAACAGAAGGGGACUGUUACAUUUUAAUGUAAAGGAAGGUUGGGGCAAUAACAGGUCUGUGAUGCCCUUAGAUGUUCCGGGCUGCACACGUGCUACAAUGAUCUAUGCACUAAGCAUCUUUUAGUUCCGUAAUGUGCGUGUACAUUGUACGCGACACAUACGCGGCGUGCCUACUUCGAGAGCUAGUAGGUAAUCACUUGGUAAUAUAGAUUUCCUUUGCAUUGUAACACCAGUCUCUACUUGUAGAACUGGGAGUUACGUGUUUUCAAAUUAUGACUUCUUAGUGGGGACAGACCAUUGUUAAUUGUUGGUCUCGCUUUAACUAGGAAUGCCUUGUACAGGUGGUUCAACAGACCGCCUGGAAUACGUCCCUGCCCUUUGUACACACCGCCCGUC